GUUUACAGGGACGUCAAGUAAAGUUAACCGUCUUUGUAAGGAUCAGCGAGAUCUGGCAGGAAGUUCCCACAGACGGGCCAGACGCACUGAGUUACGCUGUUCGUUCAGUGGCGGCCUCUAGCGGGGGGGAAGACUCCACCCGCCUUUAGGUUUUUUUAAGGAUCAAUCUCAGCGCGCCUCUGUGAUCCGUCAGCAGAGGGCGACCGUGGCCUGCGCGACUGAACAGCGCCUCGGAAAAGCAAGUUGGCUUGUCCUUGAUCAGCUCAGUUCCUGACCUCAUGAACCUUGCAAUGAAGAUGAAGGGUUUCCCAUGUCUUAGUAUUCUGUGUAAAAAACAAGAAAAUACUUCCUCUAACAGCAAACUGGAUGCUGCACAAUCCAGGGCGAACGCCCUAUAGAACAGUGUACAACUUUACUCCACCGGGAGCUGAGUGUACCUGAGCACCCAGAAUCCUCCUCACACUGCUACUCUGAUACCUGGGGCUCAGCGGCAUGGACUAAAGGGGGUGCUGAAUCUUCUGCUUUUUGUUCUUGGUUUGUAGGAGAGAAAGAUUGCUUGCGUGCAUGCGUGUGUGUGAGUAUGUGUGUGUGUGUGUGCG
rnacentral:lncRNA from 1 species